rnacentral:lncRNA from 1 species
UAAAAAUGACACUUUUCUAGGUUAGGGCAUCCGCGGCCGCAAAUUCGACCAUGGACCUGAACCGCAGAUUUUGCAUAGUAUUCUGUUCUUGACCGUUGAUCUGAACGCGGAGAACUUGUCGCAUAUUUUUCACCCUGCUCUGGUUAGAAUUUGAAAAUACGUAAAACGUGAAAGCUGUAUCUCUUUGAAUUAGAUUUCCAACCAUAUAUUGUGGAAAUCACAUAGAGUUCUG